rnacentral:misc_RNA from 1 species
UGUAGUGACGGUGCGCCCUGGUGAGACGUAUAGUUUCGAGAACGGCCGCUGCAUGCUGAACCCGUCGAUUGUGGAGCACUGUACGAAGCUGUUGCAGGAUGUCACCAGAACAGCGCCGUCAUCACUGACAGGUAUAGCUCAUCUGUGGAAUCUGGAUCUUCCGGAAUUACCGCAAUCUUCGGAAGAACUGGACGCUGCUGAACGCAUCGGAUCAAUCAGUGUUCUGCACUUGACGCAGGCAGUUGUGCGGUCCGGCAUGGCGGCGAAACUGUGGAUCGUCACCCGCGGCGCGCAGGCGAUUGGCCGACAGCAAAGUGUGGCGGUUACACAGGCUGCCGCAUGGGGACUCGGCCGUGUUAUCGGGCAUCAGGA